CAUUAAGCUUUCCUUUCUAACAGCCACACCCAAAUUAUCUGGUAACAGUUCUUCCGUACGUAUCUUUUCCCCACCAACUUUCCAAUGUCAAACCUUCUCCCUCGUCUUCUAUUUGUACGACAUAGCCCAUGCUAUUUGGGUUUCCUUCCAUUACCCCUACAUGGUGAAUUUUUCCUCAUUUGUUUGUUGUCUUCUCAACAUUCAUCCUUGGGUGGGUAAUAUAGGUAAUUUAAUCCGGAUGCAAUGAUAAAGCUUAGAGCUGGUUUACAGGACAAGCUAUUUCCCUACUUGUGUGCCUGCUAUCGGAAUUGAUUGCUGAUGGCUGGUUUAGUUGAAGUGAACGUUCCUGUGUCAGAGGCCUUUCUUCAGUGGCCCCUGCAAAGUGUCUACAAGGUAUGUUAGUGCUCUGUUUUACAGUCAGCUUGGAAAAAAAUGGAAGA